GUCCACGCCCUAAACGAUGUCAACUGGUUGUUGGUGGGGUUAAACCCAUUAGUAACGAAGCUAACGCGUGAAGUUGACCGCCUGGGGAGUACGGCCGCAAGGUUAAAACUCAAAGGAAUUGACGGGGACCCGCACAAGCGGUGGAUGAUGUGGAUUAAUUCGAUGCAACGCGAAGAACCUUACCUACCCUUGACAUGCCAGGGAGCCCGCUGAGAGGCGGGUGUGCCCGAAAGGGAGCCUGGACACAGGUGCUGCAUGGCUGUCGU
rnacentral:rRNA from 1 species